AAGACUUGACAUCACCCAGAGAGGAGGUCUUUUUCUGAUAAGGCCCUGCGUUUGGUUUUUUCUCUCCCUAGAAACUCUCAUGGAACUAUCAUUAUCAUCAGGAUUACAGCCUGCAAGACAAGAUAUAGAAGACAAAAAGAACAAGCUGUGAUUGGAAAUGUCAAGCAAGAAGGAAGUCAUGCUGGAAAGUACUGGGAAUAGUCAUUUACAAAGAAGAUAGUUUCCCACCGCAGCCUGCUCUCUGUUUAAACUCCCUGCUUCUUUGAAAAG